rnacentral:ncRNA from 2 species
UUGGUCCUUCGGGGUAGGGUGAAAUUCCCAACCGGCGGUGAUGAAGUUCAUACUUCUAAGCCCGUGACCCGUUUUACAAAUCGUAAAACGGUGGAUUUGGUGAAAAUCCAAAGCCGACAGUAAAGUCUGGAUGGGAGAAGGAAUUA